UGUCUGGGGUGCCGCACGGCUGAGAAAUACCCAUCGAACCUGCUCUGGUUAGGACCAGCGAAGGGAGAUC
rnacentral:ncRNA from 1 species